rnacentral:rRNA from 1 species
UAGGGAAUCUUCCGCAAUGGACGCAAGUCUGACGGAGCAACGCCGCGUGAGUGAAGAAGGUUUUCGGAUCGUAAAGCUCUGUUGUUAGAGAAGAACAGAUAGGAGAGGGAAUGCUCUUAUUGUGACGGUAUCUAACCAGAAAGCCACGGCUAACUACGUGCCAGCAGCCGCGGUAAUACGUAGGUGGCAAGCGUUGUCCGGAUUUAUUGGGCGUAAAGGGAGCGCAGGCGGUGUCUUAAGUCUGAUGUGAAAGCCCACGGCUCAACCGUGGAGGGUCAUUGGAAACUGGGACACUUGAGUGCAGAAGAGGAGAGCGGAAUUCCAUGUGUAGCGGUGAAAUGCGUAGAUAUAUGGAGGAACACCAGUGGCGAAGGCGGCUCUCUGGUCUGUAACUGACGCUGAGGCUCGAAAGCGUGGGGAGCAAACAG